rnacentral:rRNA from 1 species
ACGAACGCUGGCGGCGUGCUUAACACAUGCAAGUCGAACGAAGCAGCAAUGCUUAGUGGCGGACGGGUGAGUAACGCGUAGGUAACCUGCCUCAUAGUGGGGGAUACCCAGCCGAAAGGUUGGCUAAUACCGCAUAAGCUGGUUCUUUGGAAUAGGAAUCAGGAAAGAUUUAUUGCUAUGAGAGGGGCCUGCGUUCGAUUAGCUAGUUGGUGAGGUAAUGGCUCACCAAGGCGACGAUCGAUAGCUGGUCUGAGAGGACGAUCAGCCACACUGGAACUGAGACACGGUCCAGACUCCUACGGGAGGCAGCAGUGGGGAAUUUUCCGCAAUGGGCGAAAGCCUGACGGAGCAACGCCGCGUGGAUGAUGAAGUCUUUCGGGAUGUAAAAUCCUUUCAGCAGGGACGAAGCGAGUGACGGUACCUGCAGAAGAAGCAUCGGCUAACUACGU